rnacentral:tRNA from 2 species
GCCGGCGUGAUGGAAUUGGCAGACGUACGGGACUCAAAAUCCCGCGGUGGCGACACCGUGCGGGUUCGACCCCCGCCGCCGGCACCA